rnacentral:rRNA from 1 species
CCAAGGAGUCUAACAUGUGCGCGAGUCAUUGGGACUUGUUUAUGCCCAUAGGCGAAAUGAAAGUGAAGGCCGGCUGCACGUCGGCCGCGUUGGGAUCCCUCGGACGAGUGCCGGGGGCGCACCAACGGCCCGUCCCGAUCGCAACGUCGACGGGGCGGAGCGAGAGCGCAUACGUUGGGACCCGAAAGAUGGUGAACUAUGCCUGGGCAGGACGAAGCCAGAGGAAACUCUGGUGGAGGUCCGCAGCGAUUCUGACGUGCAAAUCGAUCGUCAGACCUAGGUAUAGGGGCGAAAGACUAAUCGAACCAUCUAGUAGCUGGUUCCUUCCGAAGUUUCCCUCAGGAUAGCUGGCGCUCGGAGGAGGCAUUCUGAUCCGGUAAAGCGAAUGAUUANAGGCCUUGGGGCCGAAACGACCUCAACCUANCCAGAGGAAACUCUGGUGGAGGUCCGCAGCGAUUCUGACGUGCAAAUCNAUCNUCAGACCUANGUAUAGGGGCGAAA